GGAGCGGUGGCUGAGUGGCUGAAGGCGCGCCCCCGCUAAGGGCGUGGGGUAACCAUCCCUCGUGGGUUCGAAUCCCACCCGCUCCG
rnacentral:tRNA from 1 species